rnacentral:tRNA from 1 species
GCGGGUAUAGUUUAGUGGUAAACAAGCUAACGAUGCGGGUUCGAUUCCCGCUACCCGCU